GUCACACCCGCAAAAUGAACCUAUCUCCCGCGACGAUCUUAUGACCCGCGCGGGUCAUACGUAUCUCCCGCAUUCCGUAAAUAUGACCCGCAAUCACCCGCAUCCGCGUCUUUUAUUAGGAUCUCCGUACUUCCGGAAAUGUUCCGUUCGUGUCUCUCGGAAGUUUAGCUUUCAGUUAUAAAAGUCUGUAUACUAAGUGAUUUGUUUUCACAAUGGCGUCCCUGUUUCGGAACCAGCCUGGCAAAUUCAAAAGUGGGUAAUGCUGACUCUGAGAGAACAUUUUCCAUGCUGAAGAAGAUCCAGACAGAAGGGAGAUCUGAAUUAGGAAAUGAUACAAUAUGUGCUUUGUUAUGUGCAAAACUAAAUCAACAUGGUUCAUGCUUUCAGUAUGCACCUAGGAAAAGAAAAACAUGUAUAUUGAUUAAGAAUAUGUAAUAAAACAAUGAAGGUGUGA
rnacentral:lncRNA from 1 species